UAAUGUCUUCAAGCUCCAUCCAUACUGUAGCAUGCAUGAAAACUUAGGGUGGCAUAGUCUAGGAUGGGAGCUGAGGAGAACACUGGUUACAACAGAGUAAGGCCAGGCCAGGAUCUCAUUGCAUUUGAGAAGUCUUCAAAGGGGACUAAAAAGUGAAAGCUCUCAUCCUGACUCUACCUGCAUGGUGACUUUUAGUAGGGGAGGAGUGGAAACCACUGAUACUUGGGGAGUGAGGAGUGGCAGGGACGUGACUUGCUGGGAACAUUGGUCCGUUGUGAUAACUCUCUUGGCUCUUGCCCUAUGCCAGGCAUAUGUGUUAACUCAUUAAAUCCUUACAUCCACACUGUGAGGUAGGGACUACUCUUGUCCCCACAUUACAGAUGAGGGAAUAGAGGCCUAGGAAACUUAAAUAUCUUGCCCAUGUCCCACAGCUAAUGAGUUGUAGACCUGGGAUUUGAACCAGGCAGUCUGGCUCUUGAGGCUGUGCUCAUAAUAACAACCCUGUGUGUGUCAUAUGGCAAAGGGGAAGAGAAGCAGAGUUGCCCACAGGGAUGGAGUUCACCAGCCCAGUCUGAGGAUGUAAUGAGGUUGAUUGUUCUACUUUCUACGGUGACUCUGAACCAUGCUGAACACACAGUGUCUUCAACUGAUGCCGAAACCACAGACGCACCAGGUGCUGUCGGUAUAAGGCAGGUCACCCUGAUGAAGGAGCCAUCGGGAGCCCUGGAUCACCAGUGGGGAAUGGAUCUGGCAAACGCUGAUUCCUGUGCAAGGAGGAUGGCCUUCUGGGAGCAACACAGAUGUCAUUCUUGGAGUUCUUCAGAGAUAAUCCUGAUAGGAAAAGGUUUGAGGGCCACAGACCAGGGUGCUUCAUGGAGGCACCAGCAUGGGAUUCCAAUAGAUGUUGAUAAGUGGAGAAGACGAGAAGGGGCUCCUUGGCUAAGGACACCCUGUGAGCAAAGUCACAAAGGAUAUAUGUGAGCCCCUUUGGCUCAACCCAGCUUUGGUCCUGGCUGCCUUGGGGCCCCUUUCCUCCUGUCUGUGAGGCCCAGUGAGAGAAACUGAUUUGUUUUUGUAUGAGUGGGGUAUUCUCUUCCAUGUGCCCUACAGCACCAGACUGCUAGUUCCACAAAAAUUCGGUGACGUUAUGGAGGUGGCAAGGGUUGCCUGGUUGAGAAGCUGUUACAUGUGAGCCAAGUUCCUGGCCACCUGCCACCCUAACUUUCUUAAAUACCUCCUCUCUGGAAGACUUAUCUCCUCAGAUGGAGUUCAGGCAAGUCACUCAGCCUCUCUUGUUCCGGCGUCUGUGAAAGGCAUUGGUGCCCUGCUGGUGUGGAAGGGCUGCACACAGACUCAGUGGGAAAGUCCUGCCAAGCCCGUUGGGAAUGUGCAGAUUUCCAGUUCCUUCUCCAGAGCCCGUCAACAGUCUUGUCUUUUUCUUUUCAGCUGAAACAGGCAAAGGCAUUUAAAUUGAACGCGAGGUGUUUUAAAAGCCAUGGCUGGCUGAGGCUCAACAUGUAAGCACAACAGUUCGAGUGUGGGGUUUGGACCUGCACUGCCGCUCGCCACCACCUGAUGCUCAGGACUUCUCACCUUCUGUAAAUUUGGAGGCUGAAAAGAUACACGUGGGAUUCUCUGCAGUGAUUGAGAAUGAUGAUGAUGGUUAGUGGUAUUGUUCUGAAAGUGUGAUGAGAAGAUUGGAUCACCCAGAACCCAGUAAAAUGGCCGUAUUCACUCUAGAGGAACAAGUGCGCGCUGCAGGCUUGUAUGAAGAUGUCCACCGCAGCAUUGCUUACCAGAGCACACACAUGGAAACCACAGUCAGUAGGGGAAUGGACAAGAGCGGGGGUCAUGAAGAAGGGGACUUCAUUUAUUUUUGUAUUGUUUGAUUCUUUUGCAAUGAAUUCAGGUAUUGAUUAAAAAAUGAAUUGCUGAGUAAGAAAAACAGAUUACAGAAUUUUUGUAAAAAAAAUCAUUUGUGUACAUACAUGCAAUUCAACUGGAAAUAAACACUGGAAGGAAACACAUUAAAACUUUCAUGGUAAGUGAAGUGGGAUCAUAGAUUUUUUUUUUAAUUAAUUAUUAUUAAGCUUCAAGUGAACGUUUACCAUUCCAAUCAGUCUGUCACAUGUACGUUUACAUACAUCUUACUCCCUUCUCCCACUUGCUCUCCCCCUAUUGAGUCAGCCCUUACAGUCUCUCGUUUCGUGCCAAUUUUGCCAUCUUCCCUCUCUCUCUAUCUUCCCAUCCCCCCUCCAGUCAAGAGUUGCCAACACACUCUCCAGUGUCCACCUGAUUUAAUUAGCUCUCUCUUCAUCGGCAUCUCUCUCCCCCUCACU